rnacentral:sRNA from 1 species
AAAACCCCAUGUCAAUUAUUUGAUACUGAUUUUGAAAGAGACUUCUCACAAGAAUAAUUUGUGUAUUUUUUUGACAUUUUUAAUUAUGAUAUUAAAAUUUCUACAUUAAAAAAAAAUACAUUGAUUAAACUUGCAUUUUUAGAAUUUUUAUGAAUAUGUAAAAUAAAUUUCACUAAUCUGCUAUUAUCUUAAGAUUGAAACCAACUGUGAACAAAAUGGUGCAUACAAAUUUUUUUUUUUCAAACUUACAUAAGCACAUGUUGUACUAUUUAAGAUCUUCUUUGGUUUUGACAGUCUUUUGAAGGGAGGGGAUUUGUUAAUUGAUUGUACUUAAAUGUUACAGAGUAACACAAAAAGAAAUGUUUGAGCUGUCUGUAAUCACUAUGUAUACGUGCUUGGCUGUUGUAUUUUAGAUUUUUUUUAUCGCUAUAUUGGUUACUAUGGCAGCAUGUUGUAAUCUUUGUUAUAUAACUGCUGGAAAAUAAAAUUGAUUCAAUAUU